rnacentral:rRNA from 1 species
UCGAACGGACUCAUAUUGAAACCUAGUGAUUUAUGAGUUAGUGGCGGACGGGUGAGUAACGCGUGGAUAACCUGCCGUAUACCGGGGGAUAACACUUAGAAAUAGGUGCUAAUACCGCAUAAGCGCACGGCUCCGCAUGGGGCAGUGUGAAAAACUCCGGUGGUAUACGAUGGAUCCGCGUCUGAUUAGCUAGUUGGCGGGGUAACGGCCCACCAAGGCAGCGAUCAGUAGCCGGCCUGAGAGGGUGGACGGCCACAUUGGGACUGAGACACGGCCCAAACUCCUACGGGAGGCAGCAGUGGGGAAUAUUGCACAAUGGGGGAAACCCUGAUGCAGCGACGCCGCGUGAGUGAAGAAGUAUCUCGGUACGUAAAGCUCUAUCAGCAGGGAAGAAAAUGACGGUACCUGACUAAGAAGCCCCGGCUAACUACGUGCCAGCAGCCGCGGUAAUACGUAGGGGGCAAGCGUUAUCCGGAUUUACUGGGUGUAAAGGGAGCGUAGACGGCAGCACAAGUCUGGAGUGAAAUCCCGGGGCUUAACCCCGGAACUGCUUUGGAAACUGUGCGGCUGGAGUGCAGGAGGGGUAAGCGGAAUUCCUAGUGUAGCGGUGAAAUGCGUAGAUAUUAGGAGGAACACCGGUGGUGAAGGCG